rnacentral:rRNA from 1 species
AUUGAACGCUGGCGGCAGGCCUAACACAUGCAAGUCGAACGAGUGGCGGACGGGUGAGUAAUGUCUGGGAAACUGCCUGAUGGAGGGGGAUCACUACUGGAAACUGUAGCUAAUACCGCAUACCAUCAGAUGUGCCCAGAUGGGAUUGGCUAGUUGGUGGGGUAACGGCUCACCAAGGCGACGAUCCCUAACUGGUCUGUGAGGAUGACCAGCAACACUGGAACUGAGACAGGGUCCAGACUCCUACGGGAGGCAGCAGUGGGGAAUAUUGGACAAUGGGCGAAAGCCGGAUGCAGCCAUGCCGCGUGUGUGAAGAGGGCCUUCGGGUUGUAAAGUACUUUAAGCGGGGAGGCGUUACCCGCAGAAGAAGCACCGGCUAACUCCGUGCCAGCAGCCGCGGUAAUUC